UACGAAGGGGGCUAGCGUUGCUCGGAAUCACUGGGCGUAAAGGGCGCGUAGGCGGCUUGCCAAGUCGGGGGUGAAAGCCCGUGGCUCAACCACGGAAUGGCCUUCGAUACUGGCAGGCUUGAGACCGGAAGAGGACAGCGGAACUGCGAGUGUAGAGGUGAAAUUCGUAGAUAUUCGCAAGAACACCAGUGGCGAAGGCGGCUGUCUGGUCCGGUUCUGACGCUGAGGUGCGAAAGCGUGGGGAGCAAACAGG
rnacentral:rRNA from 1 species